AGCGAACGCUGGCGGCAGGCCCAAUACAUGCAAGUCGAACGGCCCUUCGGGGCAGUGGCGGACGGGUGAGUAACACGUGGGAACGUGCCCUUUGGUACGGAACAACUGAGGGAAACUUCAGCUAAUACCGUAUGAGCCCUACGGGGGAAAGAUUUAUCGCCAUUGGAGCGGCCCGCGUUGGAUUAGCUAGUUGGUGGGGUAAAGGCCCACCAAGGCUACGAUCCAUAGCUGGUCUGAGAGGAUGAUCAGCCACACUGGGACUGAGACACGGCCCAGACUCCUACGGGAGGCAGCAGUAGGGAAUCUUGCGCAAUGGGCGAAAGCCUGACGCAGCCAUGCCGCGUGAAUGAUGAAGGUCUUAGGAUUGUAAAAUUCUUUCACCGGGGAAGAUAAUGACGGUACCCGGAGAAGAAGCCCCGGCUAACUUCGUGCCAGCCGCCGCAGUAACAC
rnacentral:rRNA from 1 species